rnacentral:rRNA from 1 species
UACAGAGGGUGCGAGCGUUAAUCGGAAUUACUGGGCGUAAAGCGUGCGUAGACGGUAGCGUAAGUCAGAUGUGAAAGCCCCGGGCUCAACCUGGGAAUGGCAUUCGGGACUGCAAGGCUGGAGUGCGGCAGAGGAGACUGGAAUUCCUGGUGUAGCAGUGAAAUGCGUAGAUAUCAGGAGGAAUACCGAUGGCGAAGGCAGGUCUCUGGGCUGACACUGACGCUCAUGCACGAAAGCGUGGGGAGCAAACAGG